rnacentral:rRNA from 1 species
GACGAACGCUGGCGGCGUGCUUAACACAUGCAAGUCGAACGGUAAGGCUCCAGCUUGCUGGGGUACACGAGUGGCGAACGGGUGAGUAACACGUGGGUGACCUGCCCUGCACUUCGGGAUAAGCCUGGGAAACUGGGUCUAAUACCGGAUAGGACCGCACCGUGAGGGUGUGGUGGAGAGUUUUUUCGGUGUGGGAUGGGCCCGCGGCCUAUCAGCUUGUUGGUGGGGUAAUGGCCUACCAAGGCGGCGACGGGUAGCCGGCCUGAGAGGGUGGACGGCCACAUUGGGACUGAGACACGGCCCAGACUCCUACGGGAGGCAGCAGUGGGGAAUAUUGCACAAUGGGCGGAAGCCUGAUGCAGCGACGCCGCGUGGGGGAUGACGGCCUUCGGGUCGUAAACUCCUUUCACCAUCGACGAAGGGUUUCUGACGGUAGAUGGAGAAGAAGCACCGGCUAACUACGUG